UACGUAGGGUCCGAGCGUUGUCCGGAAUUAUUGGGCGUAAAGAGCUCGUAGGCGGUUUGUCGCGUCUGUCGUGAAAGCUUGGGGCUUAACCCCAAGUCUGCGGUGGAUACGGGCAGACUAGAGGCAGGUAGGGGAGAACGGAAUUCCCGGUGUAGCGGUGAAAUGCGCAGAUAUCGGGAGGAACACCGGUGGCGAAGGCGGGUCUCUGGGCCGAUACUGACGCUGAGGAGCGAAAGCGUGGGGAGCGAACAGG
rnacentral:rRNA from 1 species